CCUACGGGUGGCAGCAGUGAGGAAUAUUGGUCAAUGGGCGCGAGCCUGAACCAGCCAAGUCGCGUGAAUGAUGACUGCCCUACGGGUUGUAAACUUUUUUUAUAAAGGAAUAAAGUGAGGCACGUAUGCCUUUUUGUCUGUACUUUAUGAAUACGGAUCGGCUAACUCCGUGCCAGCCGCCGCGGUAAUACGGAGGAUCCGAGCGUUAUCCGGAUUUAUUGGGUUUAAGGGGAGCGUAGAUGGGUUGUUAAGUCAGUUGUGAAAGUUUGCGGCUCAACCGUAAAAUUGCAAUUGAUACUGGCAGACUUGAGUGCAGUUGAGGUAGGCGGAAUUCGUGGUGUAGCGGUGAAAUGCUUAGAUAUCACGAAGAACUCCGAUUGCGAAGGCAGCCUACUAAACUGCCACUGACAUUGAGGCUCGAAAGUGUGGGUAUCAAACAGGAUUAGAUACCCCGGUAGUC
rnacentral:rRNA from 1 species